GUUGCUGUUGCCACCUUCCUGUUAUUGUUCUCCGUCUGCAGGGAGUCGUGCUCAAUCUCGUCCUCCUCGAAAAGCUGCCCGUUGGCGGAGGCGCGCGAUACUAUGCCUGGCAAGAAGACUUUUAAUAGUGAAUGUUGCGGGAUAUAGAUUUACUGCCACUUACUGCGCACUGUGGCCGCAUAGCUCUCCCGCUGACGAUCCCGUUCCCGAUCCCGCUCCCUUUCCCGCUCCAACAGGGCGGCGGAGCUGCCGAGGGCCAUGCUACUACUGGCCCCACUGGCCACAUGAUGCAGGCCAUUGUUCAUCGGAUUGGCCAUGGUGAUGUUGCCGCCGUGCUUCAUGUGCAGUACGGAGACCCUACCGCUCGUCACACUGGCUCCGUUGCCGUUGCCGUUGCCAUUGCCAUUCCCGGCCAGCUUCUCGUGGGUAACCAGAUUGGCCGAGGACACACUGCUGUGCGCCUGGCUGUGCACCCGAUUCCGGCCUAGACCCAGUCCGCUGGCGGCACUCUUGCCCUGCUUUCGGGAGCGCACAAUGUAGCAGCUGAGCGCCACAAUGAUCAUCAGGAAGAGGCCCAUGAUCAUGCCGAACAUGCCCAGCAUGUUGCUGUUCCAGCCGGAUUGGGCCAAGGUCAGGCCCUCCAUGGUCACGCUCACCGGAACGGAGGUGCUCCUGGGCGGCACCCCGGUGUCCGUGGCGAUGGCUAUCAGAUGAACGGUGGACUCAUUCAGACUCUGCAGCUGCUCCGGCCGCAUGUAGAUGUUUCCGGUGGCGUCGAUCUCGAAUAAUCCCGCAUGCUGGCCACGCAGCGAGAGUUCCAGCUUGUCGUUGCGAUCCCCGUCAGCUGCCUCCACUUUCCCGAUGAGCACGCCCUCGAAAGAAUCCACGCGGGAUUGCAAGGAUUGCUAAAAAGGGAGAAGGAUACAAAGCUCACAAUGCAAGGAUGGUGUAUCGUAAACUUCCUAAAUAACUCACUUUGAACAUUUUUGGGCUUAAACUAACUAAUUACACUAUUUCAGUACGUAUUUGCAAUUACGAAUGCAAGAAAUCAAACUCUCUCCCUUUCAGGCCUACUUUCGGUCCGUCCUGAUAAUGGCAAAUUAAAAGUAAAUUGCAGGACAGAUGGACAGGUGGAGGAAGCCACCACAGAGAGUUGGUCCGGCUGGUCCAGUGUUUGUGUUUGUGUUUGGUCUUGUGUCCGAAUCCGAAUGCGGAUCGCCAGAUUCAGACAUGUUUGCUCGUACCUCGGAUACGCUCUAUUAAGCUUCCGUUUUCUUUCAUUUCGAGUGCUGCAAUUUUCGACCAGACCAACCACCGUGGGUCCAAGUCUAAAUGGAUCCAUGUGAGCACAUGUAAACUUGGCAACUGGCCUCAUGGAACAUCUCUCCUCCUCUCGACUCCUCUUUUUGCCCGAUUUGCAGCUGAUUUUCGUUUCCGGACAAGCUCUGAUAUCUAAUUGUGUUAGUGUGCAAUGGUUAAUGGGCAAACUUGGUACGGUCAUGCAAAUUGUUGCAAGCACUUGCUCUCCUUGUAUGCAAAUAAAUCGGUGUCAGUUUAUUUGCAAAAAAAAAUUAACAGAAUGUAAUUUCAUUUCAUACCAAUUCUGAGAGUUUUACUUUAUUUGACCCAUUUUAUUAUCAGUGAAGGGGGAGUACAAAGCUAUCUUACAAAAUGUUGAACCUUUUCGCGUUAAUUAGGUAAGCAAAUAUGUGGCUACUUUUACCUACCUAGGUAUGAAUUUGGUAUGUAAUACCAUUGGAAAAAGCAGUGAUAGGUAUUUAGGUU